GUCAGGAUGGCCGAGCGGUCUAAGGCGCUGCGUUCAGGUCGCAGUCUCCCCUGGGCGGUAGGCGUGUCCAAUCCCAUUUCUGACA